rnacentral:rRNA from 1 species
AUACACUGAGACUUUCUCAAUGAUGUAAGUGGUGGUGCAUGGUCGUUCGUAGUUUCGUGGAUUGAUUUGUCUGGUCUAUUCCGAUAACGAGCGAGACCCCAUCGUUCCUACUAGGGGCGGUUAGCCCGCUGGGUCGCAAGGCCCGGUAGCUUCCGCUUAAGAUUAACUUCUUAGACGUAUCAGAGCCGAUAAGGUUCUUGAAAUGGGUUAAUAACAGGUCAGUCAUGCCCUUAGAUGUUCUGGGCCGCACGCGCGUUACAAUGGCACGUAAAGCGAGUGCUGGCAAAAAAGGCGUAACCGGGGCCGAAAGGCCCUGGUAACCCUUAGUCCCUGCCUUGACUGGGACAGAUCUUUGCAAUUAUUGGUCUCCAACGAGGAAUUUUUAGUAGGCGCAGGUCAUUAACCUGCGCCGAAUGCGUCCCUGCCCUUUGUAA